CCUACGGGGUGCAGCAGUGAGGAAUAUUGGUCAAUGGCCGUAAGGCUGAACCAGCCAAGUCGCGUGAAGGAUGAAGGUUCUAUGGUUUGUAAACUUCUUUUAUAAGGGAAUAAAGUUAGCCACGUGUGGAUAUUUGUAUGUACCUUAUGAAUAAGCAUCGGCUAACUCCGUGCCAGCAGCCGCGGUAAUACGGAGGAUGCGAGCGUUAUCCGGAUUUAUUGGGUUUAAAGGGUGCGUAGGUGGGUUUUUAAGUCAGCGGUGAAAGUCUGUGGCUCAACCAUAGAAUUGCCGUUGAAACUGGGUGGCUUGAGUGUGUUUGAGGUAGGCGGAAUGCGUGGUGUAGCGGUGAAAUGCUUAGAUAUCACGCAGAACUCCGAUUGCGAAGGCAGCUUACUAAGCCAUAACUGACGCUGAUGCACGAAAGCGUGGGGAUCAAACAGGAUUAGAUACCCUGGUAGUC
rnacentral:rRNA from 1 species